GAAAUGCGAUAAGUAAUGUGAAUUGCAGAAUUCAGUGAAUCAUUGAAUCUUUGAACGCACAUUGCGCCCGCCAGUAUUCUGGCGGGCAUGCCUGUUCGAGCGUCAUUUCAACCAUCAAGCCCCCGGCUUGUGUUGGGGACCUGCGGCUGCCCGCAGGCCCUGAAAAACAGUGGCGGGCUCGCUGUCACACCGAGCGUAGUAGCAUACAUUCUCGCUCAGGGCGUGCUGCGGGUUCCGGCCGUUAAACGACCUUCAUAACCCAAGGUUGACCUCGGAUCAGGUAGGAAGACCCGCUGAACUUAAGC
rnacentral:misc_RNA from 1 species